rnacentral:sRNA from 1 species
GUAUUGAGGGUGGGCAAUCGGUUGGCUUCGUGCUUUAUGAUCAUGAUGCAAUAUGCAUCUCGGUGGCAAGAUGUGGUGGACCUAAGCUUGCAAUCAUGUAUAGAAUCCAUCUGGCGGAAAAUAUACCAAAGGGAGAAUUCAAAGAGCUACUACUAUACUACAGUCGUGUUCGUGAGUUCCGGCGGAUCCUUCGGAGACCUUGCUGUUGAUCUCAACACUGCGCGAUGAUUGACGCAAGGGUAACUGGAAACAAUUCUUUUUUUCUGAUAUCUAAGGCAGGGCACUUUGCUCCAGUUAAUGAUGAUGAUGAAAGCCAGCGCUCCCCCAAAAGAACUACCUCCCAGGGCCAAUACGAGAUAGCAACAAGGCAAGACCAUCUAUUUAUCUUCGUGCCACACGAACCGGGUCCAACAAAACACAUCUCAUCAUCUGCUCACCAUCUGCACACCACAUCAUCCUUCCAAUGGGGAUUAUGACGGGUGGUUGAGGAACGCUGAGCAAUGUAGUAGUGGUGAUAGUAUAGGCAUAUGGGUGGUAACAUGAUCUGGGCAAGAAAUGCGAUUGACUGUGGUUUGUUAGGGCCUCUUCUCCUUAUUGUCAUCGACAAGUCCCCAGCUUAAACACAAUCAUUCUCUAUGUAGUUUAUCUUCGUAGAUGCGUAAAAAUGCAUGGCCCUCG